UGCAGCGCUGGUGGAAGGCGGUGAUCAGCUGCUGAAGCUGCAGGAACAAACUGCAGAUGUUGCAGUACGUGCAGCAGAGCUGCGGUAUUUCGUGCAGCGCAACCUCAAGGCGUCCAGGAAGCAAAUCUUGCCGCUCGUCAAACUUUUUGUCGAGCGAGAACUCAACUCGUCGCGUAGUUGAUCAUCUCUGCCUUGUGCGGGGAACAUGGUCUUGGGCUUGAGUCUGCGGUAGUUGUUGCGGUAGCUCGCCGCUGCCUUCGACGCCGCCUCCUGCAGACCAGGCGUGUUGUGAACCGCCAUAUGCGUCUGUAAUUAAUAUUGAUUAUUAGUAAUAUUUUCACCAAUA